AGUCGACGGCAGCCGGGGGCAACCCUGGUGGCGAGUGGCGAACGGGUGAGUAAUAUAUCGGAACGUGCCCUGGAGUGGGGGAUAACGUAGCGAGGGUUACGCUAAUACCGCAUACGAUCUACGGAUGAAAGUGGGGGACCGCAAGGCCUCAUGCUCGUGGAGCGGCCGAUAUCUGAUUAGCUAGUUGGUAGGGUAAAGGCCUACCAAGGCAUCGAUCAGUAGCUGGUCUGAGAGGACGACCAGCCACACUGGGACUGAGACACGGCCCAGACUCCUACGGGAGGCAGCAGUGGGGAAUUUUGGACAAUGGGGGCAACCCUGAUCCAGCAAUGCCGCGUGAGUGAAGAAGGCCUUCGGGUUGUAAAGCUCUUUUGUCCGGGAAGAAACGGUUGUCUCUAAUACAGAUGGCUAAUGACGGUACCGGAA
rnacentral:rRNA from 1 species